rnacentral:rRNA from 1 species
AUUGAACGCUGGCGGCAGGCUUAACACAUGCAAGUCGAGCGAGCGGCGGACGGGUGAGUAAUGUCUGGGAAACUGCCUGAGGGAGGGGGAUAACUACGGGAAAAGGUAGCUAAUACCGCAUACCAUGAGAUGUGCCCAGAUGGGAUGAGCGAGUAGGUGGGGUAAUGGCUCACCUAGGCGACGAUUCCUAGCUGGUCUGAGAGGAUGACCAGCCACACUGGAACUUAUACACGUUCCAGACUCCUACGGGAGGCAGCAGUGGGGAAUAUUGCACAAGGGGCGCAAGCCUGAUGCAGCCAUGCCGCGUGUGUGAAGAAGGCCGUCGGGUUGUAAAGCACUUUCAGCGAGGAGGCGUUACUCGCAGAAGAAGCACCGGCUAACUCCGUGCCAGCAGCCGCGGUAAUUC